rnacentral:rRNA from 1 species
GACGCGUAGGCGGGUUGUCAAGUCAGGUGUGAAAUCCUACAGCUUAACUGUAGAACUGCACUUGAAACUGGCAACCUAGAGUAUGGGAGGGGGAGAUGGAAUUAGUGGUGUAGGGGUAAAAUCUGUAGAUAUCACUAGGAAUACCUAAAGCGAAGGCGAUCUCCUGGAACAUUACUGACGCUAAGGCGUGAAAGCGUGGGGAGCAAACAGGAUUAGAUACCCUGGUAGUCCACGCCCUAAACGAUGAACACUAGUCGUCGCCCUGCUUGUCAGGGCGGUGAUGCACUUAACAGAUUAAGUGUUCCGCCUGGGGAGUACGGUCGCAAGAUUAAAACUCAAAGGAAUAGACGGGGACCCGCACAAGUGGUGGAGCAUGUGGUUUAAUUCGAAGAUACGCGAAAAACCUUACCUGGCCUUGACAUUGAUAGAAUCCAGCAGAGAUGCAGGAGUGCCCUUCGGGGAGCUUGAAAACAGGUGCUGCACGGCUGUCGUCAGCUCGUGUCGUGAGAUGUUGGGUUAAGUCCCGCAACGAGCGCAACCCUUGUCCUUAGUUGCCAGCAGGUUAAGCUGGGCACUCUAGGGAGACUGCCUUCGCAAGAAGGAGGAAGGUGAGGACGACGUCAAGUCAUCAUGGCCCUUACGGCCAGGGCUACACACGUGCUACAAUGGGGCGUACAGAGUGUUGCAAUACCGCGAGGUGGAGCCAAUCACUUAAAGCGUCUCUCAGUUCGGAUUGUUCUCUGCAACUCGAGAGCAUGAAGCUGGAAUCACU